AACGGCGAGUGAAGCGGCAACAGCUCAGAUUUGGAAUCUGGCCCCCCCCGGGGGGUCCGAGUUGUAAUCUGGAGAGGAUGCUUCUGGCGCGGCGCCCGGCGAGUUCCCUGGAACGGGACGCCAGAGAGGGUGAGAGCCCCGUACGGCGGGACGCCGCGCCUCUGCGAAGCUCCUUCGACGAGUCGAGUAGUUUGGGAAUGCUGCUCCAAACGGGAGGUAAAUUUCUCCUAAAGCUAAAUACCGGCCGGAGACCGAUAGCGCACAAGUAGAGUGAUCGAAAGAUGAAAAGCACUUUGAAAAGAGGGUCAAACAGUACGUGAAAUUGUUGAAAGGGAAGCGCCCGUGGCCAGACUCGCGCCCCGCGGACCACCCGGCGGACUCCGCCGGGGCACGCCGCGGGGCGCGGGCCAGCAUCGGCCCCCGCAGGGGGACAAGGGCGGCGGGAACGUGGCUCCUCUGGGAGUGUUACAGCCCGCCGCGCCAUGCCCCUGGGGGGGCCGAGG
rnacentral:rRNA from 1 species